AUUGAACGCUGGCGGCAGGCUUAACACAUGCAAGUCGAACGAGUGGCGGACGGGUGAGUAAUGCUUGGGAAUCUGGCUUAUGGAGGGGGAUAACUACGGGAAACUGUAGAUAACACCGCGUACCAUAGGAUGAGCCCAAGUGGGAUUAGGUAGUUGGUGAGGUAAAGGCUAACCAAGCCGACGAUCUCUAUCUGGUCUGAGAGGCUGACUCGCCACACUGGUACUGAGACACGGCCCAGACUCCGACGGGAGGACGCAGUGGGGAAUAGUGCGCAAUGGGGGAAACCUGACGCAGCCAUGCCGCGUGAAUGAAGAAGGCCUUCGGGUUGUAAAGUUCUUUCGGUAGCGAGGCGUUAACUACAGAAGAAGCACCGGCUAACUCCGUGCCAGCCGCCGCGGUAAUAC
rnacentral:rRNA from 1 species